CACGUAGGGGGCGAGCGUUGUCCGGAAUCACUGGGCGUAAAGGGCGCGUAGGUGGCGACCCAAGUCGAUGGUGAAAGCUCGCCGCUCAACGGCGAGUCGGCCACUGAUACUGGGUUGCUGGAGCACUGUAGAGGCAGAUGGAAUUCCGGGUGUAGCGGUGAAAUGCGUAGAUAUCGGAAGGAACACCAGUGGCGAAAGCGGCUUCCUGGUCCAGCACCGACGUUCAGGCACGAAAGCGUGGGGAGCAAACAGG
rnacentral:rRNA from 1 species